rnacentral:rRNA from 1 species
UACGUAGGGGGCAAGCGUUGUCCGGAUUUAUUGGGCGUACAGAGCGUGUAGGCGGCCAGACAGGUCCGUUGUGAAAACUCGAGGCUCAACCUCGAGACGCCGAUGGAAACCGUCUGGCUAGAGUCCGGAAGAGGAGAGUGGAAUUCCUGGUGUAGCGGUGAAAUGCGCAGAUAUCAGGAAGAACACCCGUGGCUAAGGCGGCUCUCUAGUACGGUACUGACGCUGAGACGCGAAAGCGUGGGGAGCGAACAGG